CUGGCGUACAUGUGAAGUAGAGGAUCUGCACAUCCAGACCUCCAUGAAGUAUUAUUUUAGAUUUUUAAAGAUUUAAUCUUUAAUUCUAUUGUUAAUCAAAUAAAAAUUUGAUUCUUAUUUAUGUAUAUUAAUAAAAAAAAUUUUAAAUACAAUCUGAGCUAUUCGAAGAGAAAUAGUUUUCCUUCCCUUCAAUUGGUAUCAGAGUAGGCUGAAAAUACAUGCAUGCAUGUCUAAAUUUUUUUAAAUUAGUUAUAUAAGAUAUAAUUGAGAUUUUUUGUUAAU
rnacentral:lncRNA from 1 species